UUUCCGUUGGUGAACCAGCGGAAGGAUCAUUACAGAGUUCAUGCCCUUCGGGGUAGACCUCCCACCCUGUUUAUAUACUACUGUUGCUUUGGCAGGCUGCCCUCACCAUGGGGCGUCCGGGUUCCGCCCGCGUCUCGCCUGCCAAAAGCCCCCUAAUUCUGUGUUCUGUGUCGUCUGAGUACUAUAUAAUAAGUUAAAACUUUCAACAACGGAUCUCUUGGUUCUG
rnacentral:misc_RNA from 1 species